rnacentral:rRNA from 1 species
UACAGAGGUCUCAAGCGUUGUUCGGAUUCAUUGGGCGUAAAGGGUGCGUAGGUGGCGCUGUAAGUCGGGUGUGAAAUUUCGGAGCUUAACUCCGAAACUGCAUUCGAUACUGCGGUGCUUGAGGACUGGAGAGGAGACUGGAAUUCAUGGUGUAGCAGUGAAAUGCGUAGAGAUCAUGAGGAACACCGGUGGCGAAGGCGGGUCUCUGGGCCGAUACUGACGCUGAGGAGCGAAAGCGUGGGGAGCGAACAGG